rnacentral:rRNA from 1 species
CGCUGGCGGCGUGCCUAAUACAUGCAAGUCGAGCGAAACUUAGAAAGCUUGCUUUCUAAGUUUAGCGGCGGACGGGUGAGUAACACGUGGGCAACCUGCCUAUAAGACUGGGAUAACUUCGGGAAACCGGAGCUAAUACCGGAUAAUAUAAAAGAUCACAUGGUCUUUUAUUGAAAGAUGGCUUCGGCUAUCACUUAUAGAUGGGCCCGCGGCGCAUUAGCUAGUUGGUGAGGUAAUGGCUCACCAAGGCGACGAUGCGUAGCCGACCUGAGAGGGUGAUCGGCCACACUGGGACUGAGACACGGCCCAGACUCCUACGGGAGGCAGCAGUAGGGAAUCUUCCGCAAUGGACGAAAGUCUGACGGAGCAACGCCGCGUGAGCGAUGAAGGCCUUCGGGUCGUAAAGCUCUGUUGUUAGGGAAGAACAAGUAUCGUUCGAAUAGGGCGGUACCUUGACGGUACCUAACCAGAAAGCCACGGCUAACUACGUG